rnacentral:tRNA from 1 species
GGGCUUGUAGCUCAGUUGGGAGAGCGCACGGUUCGCAUCCGUGAGGUCGAGAGUUCGAAUCUCUUCAGGUCCACCA